rnacentral:rRNA from 1 species
UACGUAGGGUGCAAGCGUUGUCCGGAAUUAUUGGGCGUAAAGGGUGCGUAGGUGGCGCGCUAAGUCAGGUGUGAAAUUUCGGAGCUUAACUCCGAAACUGCAUUUGAUACUGGCGUGCUUGAGGACUGGAGAGGAGACUGGAAUUCACGGUGUAGCAGUGAAAUGCGUAGAUAUCGUGAGGAAGACCAGUGGCGAAGGCGGGUCUCUGGACAGUUCCUGACACUGAGGCACGAAGGCCAGGGGAGCAAACGGG